rnacentral:rRNA from 1 species
GCAGGCUGCAACUCGCCUGCAUGAAGUUGGAAUUGCUAGUAAUCGUGGAUCAGCAUGCCGCGGUGAAUACGUUCCCGGGUCUUGUACACACCGCCCGUCACACCAUGGGAGUUUGUAACACCCGAAGUCAGUAGUCUAACCGUAAGGAGGACGCUGCCGAAGGUGGGAUAAGCGACUGGGGUGAAGUCGUAACAAGGUAGC